AUGGCCACCAGCCUUUUCUGUUGUGUGGUUAUCUUUCUCUUGGAAUUAGAUUCUUUGCAUGCUAAAAUCACUCAGAACCCGAGACAUAUAAUCAUAGAGAAGGGACAGGCAGUGACAAUGAGAUGUGUCCAAGACACUGAGGAUACUCGAAUGUUUUGGUAUCAACAGACCCCAGAGAAGGAGGGUCUAGUGCUUGUUCUUUAUUCCCUGGGAAAGGGGGAUAAGCAGGAGGGAGAUGAUCCUCAAGGAUUUGACGUCCAGAGACCAGAUACCAAAAAUUUUAUUCUCAGCAAAACAUCUGCAGAACCCAGGGACUCCGGGAUGUAUUUCUGCAGUGCCAGCCACAGCGAUAAAAGGGCAUCUCAUUUCUAUGCACAAACCCCCUUUCUUCCACUAAAGCACAGGAAGUAG